GUGUUUGCGCCUGCAGCAACACUUCCACUGUGGUAUCAAAAGCUCAGUUCAUUACUUCUUAAUUAAUUUUGCCUUGAGAAGCUCUAAGUUCUCAGAGGACCUGUAGGAUUUCCAGAGCGUUGCCUACAUAGCAUUGGCUUGUAGGCAGCAACCACAGCCAAAUGACAUUGAGAUCAGGAAUUCUAACCCAUGUAAUCCAAUUUGAUACAACGGCUGCAGCCUUUGGGAAGCUGAAAGACCCUUGAAGCCCACAGCACAGGGGAUAUCCUGCCUGGAGCUCCUGAUCUGACUUGCAUGUAUAUACAUUACACCAGAUUUCCACUAUCAGAUAGGGUAAUAACCAGCAUUAAAGGAGUGUGCUUGUUCACGUCUUCUAUGCGACAGAGGUGUUUUAUGUGCAGUUGUUUCAUCAUU
rnacentral:lncRNA from 1 species